GAUGAACGCUGGCGGCGUGCCUAAUACAUGCAAGUCGAGCGAAGCGAGGGCGGGUGAGUAACACGUGGAUACACUCCUAUACGAAUGGGUUAACGUCGGGAAACCGGAGGUAAACCGGCUACUUAUAGAUGGAUCCGCGUGGCAUUAGCUAGUUGGUAAGGUAACGGCUUACCAAGGCCACUAUGCAUAGCCGACCUGAGAGGGUGAUCGGCCAAACUGGAACUGAGACACGGCCCAGACUCCUACGGGAGGCAGCAGUAGGGAAUCUUCCGCAAUGGGCGAAAGUCUGACGGAGCAACGCCGCGUGAGUGAAGAAGGUUUUCGGAUCGUAAAACUCUGUUGUUAGGGAAGCGGUAUCUAACCAGAAAGCCACGGCUAACUACGUGCCAGCAGCCGCGGUAAUAC
rnacentral:rRNA from 1 species